rnacentral:rRNA from 1 species
UACGUAGGGUGCAAGCGUUGUCCGGAAUUAUUGGGCGUAAAGAGCUCGUAGGCGGUUUGUCGCGUCGAAUGUGAAAACCCGGGGCUCAACUCCGGGCCUGCAUUCGAUACGGGCAGACUAGAGUUCGGUAGGGGAGACUGGAAUUCCUGGUGUAGCGGUGAAAUGCGCAGAUAUCAGGAAGAACACCAGUGGCGAAGGCGGCACUCUGGCCAGUGACUGACGCUGAGGAGCGAAAGCGUGGGGAGCGAACAGG